GACGAACGCUGGCGGCGUGCCUAAUACAUGCAAGUAGAACGCUGAAGGAGGAGCUUGCUUCUCUGGAUGAUUUGCGCACGGGUGAGUAACGCGUAGGUAACCUGCCUGGUAGCGGGGGAUAACUAUUGGAAACGAUAGCUAAUACCGCAUAAUAGUAGAUGUUGCAUGACAUUUGCUUAAAAGGUGCAAUUGCAUUACUACCAGAUGGACCUGCGUUGUAUUAUCUAGUUGGUGGGGUAACGGCUCAACAAGGCGACGAUACAUAGCCGACCUGGGAGGGGGAUAGGCACCACCGGGACUGGGAACAGGCUCAGACUCCUAAGGGGGGGCGACGUAGGGAAACCUAGGCCAUGGCGGGAAGUCUGACCGGGCAACCCCGGGUGGAUGAAGAAGGUUCUUGGGACGUAAAGACUGUUUGUAAGAGAAGAAAGAGAUUGGGAGUGGAAUAUGCACAUCUUGACGGUACCUAACCAGAAAGGCAGGGCUAACUACGUG
rnacentral:rRNA from 1 species